UUUUUCCUGCGUGGUGCGUGAUAUUGUGAUAUUUGGACCUACACACAAAGAAAGGGAGCUUGGACUUCUGCUAUCGGGAUGCAGGCCUCCCGUCGGGAGCUGUCACAGACCCUCCCCAAACGGAUGUUGGAAGCGCAAAGUAGCAGAGAGAGCACCCACCUGUAUAUACAGGGUUAAACAUUGCCUUACACGGCCUCGCGGGGUUCUU
rnacentral:other from 1 species